CACGUAGGGCGCAAGCGUUGUCCGGAAUUAUUGGGCGUAAAGAGCUCGUAGGCGGUCUGUUGCGUCCGCUGUGAAAACUCGGGGCUUAACCCCGAGCCUGCAGUGGAUACGGGCAGACUAGAGGUAGGUAGGGGAGAAUGGAAUUCCCGGUGUAGCGGUGAAAUGCGCAGAUAUCGGGAGGAACACCGGUGGCGAAGGCGAGUCCCUGGACAACUACUGACGCUGAGGCACGAAAGCUAGGGGAGCAAACAGG
rnacentral:rRNA from 1 species